AUUGAACGCUGGCGGCAUGCCUUACACAUGCCAGUCGAACGGUAACGGGCCUUCGGGUGCCGACGAGUGGCGAACGGGUGAGUAAUACAUCGGAACGUGCCCGAUCGUGGGGGAUAACGAGGCGAAGGCUUUGCUAAUACCGCAUACGAUCUACGGAUGAAAGCAGGGGACCGCAAGGCCUUGCGCGGACGGAGCGGCCGAUGGCAGAUUAGGUAGUUGGUGGGAUAAAAGCUUACCAAGCCGACGAUCUGUAGCUGGUCUGAGAGGAUGAUCAGCCACACUGGGACUGAGACACGGCCCAGACUCCUACGGGAGGCAGCAGUGGGGAAUUUUGGACAAUGGGCGCAAGCCUGAUCCAGCCAUGCCGCGUGCAGGAUGAAGGCCUUCGGGUUGUAAACUGCUUUUGUACGGAACGAAAAGCCUUCUUUUAAUACAGGAGGGUCAUGACGGUACCGUAAGAAUAAGCACCGGCUAACUACGUG
rnacentral:rRNA from 1 species